rnacentral:tRNA from 1 species
GCCGUGGUGGUCUAGUGGUUAAGGCACUCGGCUACUGACCCGGAGGGCGCGGGUUCGAAUCCCGGCUGCGGCG